UCAGAGGUUCAAUCUUUACUCCUGCCAUAUCCAGAUAGCAGGUUCUCAGAGAUUUGUGGGGUCAGUGGUUUUAUUCAAGGUACUUCUUUCUACAAAAGAUGGUGGGUUUUCAUCCUAUCUUUGAUCUAAGGAAGCUAAUACUUUUAUGUGAUGGUUCCAGUUUUAAAUGUUGAUCCUAGCUUCCAUUGUAUCCUCCCUUUCUACCAUGGAGCCAAAAUAGGUAGCAAUACAUUUAUCAGUUAAUAAAUUAGAUUUCACUUGUAAAAAUGAAUACUUUGGGUGGUCUAGUGGAUAGGACCCAGCCUGAGACUCAGAAGAUGUCUAUUGCCCUCUCUGCCACUGAGCUGCUGUAUAACCUGGAUUAUUAAUUAUGUGGAUGCUGGAAGACCUUGGAGAUGAUGCAUUCCUGUGUGCUGUUUUGGCUGGCAUUUGGAUCGUAGGGCUACUCCUCUGAUGGUAUGAAUCCAGAACUUGGUGUGCCCCCAGUGUGGGAAAACUUCCUGUGGAUGACAGUGCCGUGCAAAGGGAAUGAUGCAGUGGAAAUUGAUGUCGCCCCGGUGACCAGAAAAGUCUCAAGCAGUGCUGUCAAUGCCUCCUGGAAGUGGUCAGAUGUCAGUGGGACAGAAGUGAUCCCACCCAUGACUCAUCUCCAGAUGCCAUAAUGAAGGGCUAUCUGCUUUGGUGGACAGAAAAAAAAAAUACUGCUUUGGGACUGUAAAUUGGUGACAAAUGUUAGUUUAAAGUUUUAGUUUUUUCCACCUGUAAACCCCAACCCCGUUGUGUUCAUUUAUGAAUUGAUAUCCCCAACGGGACAGCAUCAGGGGAAGAGAUAAUUAAUUUUAGGCUGAAACACUCCCUUUUAUACCCAAACAUUGGGUAGAAAAGUUUGGGGUGAGGCAAGAUUACAGAUAAGGAUACUAGGAGGGGAAUGGGAAGCUCUUUUGCCUUGCACUUGGGAGGCCCUAGGUCCUCAGGAAAUUUAUAAAAGGGAUAAAGGAUGUCUGAAUAACAGGAUGGUUAAAUGGUGUUUUGGUAAAAUGAUUAAAAGGUAUAGAAGUGUGAAUUCUGUAACCACCUGUAAUUGAUUUGAUUGGAGCAUGUGUGGUUGAAAUCAAUGGGAAGAAGCAUACAGAGAUGAAGGUAAAGAGUAAAGUGAAUUAUGGUAAGCGUGUGGAUGUACAGUAGACAAUGAAACAAUAUGCAUGAGGUGGUUGUGAAUAAUAUGAAUGCAAUGGAUCAACACCUAAAAGAUUUAGCAAUGCCCCUGCGGGUAUUUUUAGAUCAGCUAAGCUGCAUACAGGAUGGGGUGACAGGUUUUAGAGAAAUGGGCGCAAUACCAAGAAAAGGACCACUUCCACCUCUUGCAAGCUGUUGGUGCCCUCCACAGUAAUGUUUCCUUGGCCCUGACAUGCAUGCAAAUGCAGAUGUGGAUUACUGAUAUGUAAAGAAUCUUUACAUUUGAGAUUCUUUUGAGAUGGUACGAAUGGGAUACUCACAUUGGAAAUUAGGAACCUGCUUAGAAGAAUUUGGGAUUGAAUAUGAAUGUACCACAAAUACCUUGCAGCUACAAGAUCUAUGUUUAGAAUAGAGAGAAUAUGCCUGUAUUUAUUUAAAUGAAUUUGAUUGUUGUAAAAUGUUAACUAAGCAUUCCUAUUUAAGGAAUUAUUGGUAAGUUGCUAGGCAGGAGGCACACAGAAUCAUGGUUACCAUCCACCACGCUUCUAAUUAGAUUAAGUGACAGAGGGUUAGCAGCAAUUCGGAACAAAAUUAGUGGGAGAUGUUAUUGAGAUGGUCCCCCACAGAACUGGGGAUUUAAUUUGGCCUUGCAUUUAAUUGUGGUGAGGUUCUAAUGUUUCAGGUGGCGUUGGUGAUUGUGCUUCUAGUAUGGAUAUGCUGGAUCUGGAGGAAGAUUGAUCGGUUGCAAAGCCAGCGGUUCUAUAGACCACGGUACUCCCUGGAGAGAUGUACAUGAAGUCUGGUACUUAACGAGAAAGUCAGGAGUGAAACGGGAGAGUGCCAGCGAGAAGAUUUUGUCUCAGUCAAGAGCCUUGAGACUAAUGCUGGACCUUCAAAAGUAACCAACGGAACUCUUUUUAUAUAUAUAUAUAUAUAUAUAUCUCUAAAGGCCUUUAUUAAAAAUAUGUGGCCUUUAAGGAGGGGAAUGUUGCACUGUAUUUGAGGGGUGUGUAUACCCCAGAAUGUGAUCAAGCUAAUUG